CUGGGAGGACCAUCUCCUAAGGCUAAAUACUCUCUAGUGACCGAUAGUGAACCAGUACCGUGAGGGAAAGGUGAAAAGCACCCCGGAAGGGGAGUGAAAUAGAACCUGAAACCGUGUGCUUACAAGUAGUCAGAGCCCGUUAAUGGGUGAUGGCGUGCCUUUUGUAGAAUGAACCGGCGAGUUACGAUUUGAUGCAAGGUUAAGCAGUAAAUGUGGAGCCGUAGCGAAAGCGAGUCUGAAUAGGGCGUUUAGUAUUUGGUCGUAGACCCGAAACCAGGUGAUCUACCCUUGGUCAGGUUGAAGUUCAGGUAACACUGAAUGGAGGACCGAACCGACUUACGUUGAAAAGUGAGCGGAUGAACUGAGGGUAGCGGAGAAAUUCCAAUCGAACCUGGAGAUAGCUGGUUCUCUCCGAAAUAGCUUUAGGGCUAGCCUCAAGUGAUGAUUAUUGGAGGUAGAGCACUGUUUGGACGAGGGGCCCCUCUCGGGUUACCGAAUUCAGACAAACUCCGAAUGCCAAUUAAUUUAACUUGGGAGUCAGAACAUGGGUGAUAAGGUCCGUGUUCGAAAGGGAAACAGCCCAGACCACCAGCUAAGGUCCCAAAAUAUAUGUUAAGUGGAAAAGGAUGUGGCGUUGCCCAGACAACUAGGAUGUUGGCUUAGAAGCAGCCAUCAUUUAAAGAGUGCGUAAUAGCUCACUAGUCGAGUGACACUGCGCCGAAAAUGUACCGGGGCUAAACAUAUUACCGAAGCUGUGGAUUGUCCUUUGGACAAUGGUAGGAGAGCGUUCUAAGGGCGUUGAAGCAUGAUCGUAAGGACAUGUGGAGCGCUUAGAAGUGAGAAUGCCGGUGUGAGUAGCGAAAGACGGGUGAGAAUCCCGUCCACCGAUUGACUAAGGUUUCCAGAGGAAGGCUCGUCCGCUCUGGGUUAGUCGGGUCCUAAGCUGAGGCCGACAGGCGUAGGCGAUGGAUAACAGGUUGAUAUUCCUGUACCACCUAUAAUCGUUUUAAUCGAUGGGGGGACGCAGUAGGAUAGGCGAAGCGUGCGAUUGGAUUGCACGUCUAAGCAGUAAGGCUGAGUAUUAGGCAAAUCCGGUACUCGUUAAGGCUGAGCUGUGA
rnacentral:rRNA from 1 species